UGGCGACCGGCGCACGGGUGAGUAACACGUAUCCAACCUGCCGAUAACUCGGGGAUAGCCUUUCGAAAGAAAGAUUAAUACCCGAUGGUAUAAUCAGACCGCAUGGUCUUGUUAUUAAAGAAUUUCGGUUAUCGAUGGGGAUGCGUUCCAUUAGGCAGUUGGUGAGGUAACGGCUCACCAAACCUUCGAUGGAUAGGGGUUCUGAGAGGAAGGUCCCCCACAUUGGAACUGAGACACGGUCCAA
rnacentral:rRNA from 1 species